UACGGAGGGUGCAAGCGUUAUCCGGAUUCAUUGGGUUUAAAGGGUGCGUAGGCGGAAUGAUAAGUCAGUGGUGAAAUCCUGCAGCUUAACUGCAGAACUGCCAUUGAUACUGUCAAUCUUGAGUAUAUUUUGAUGUGGGCGGAAUGUGUCAUGUAGCGGUGAAAUGCUUAGAUAUGACACAGAACACCGAUUGCGAAGGCAGCUCACAAAACUAUAACUGACGCUGAGGCACGAAAGCGUGGGUAUCAAACAGG
rnacentral:rRNA from 1 species